UCCCCACCUGACCCCAUGCCGAACUCAGAAGUGAA
rnacentral:rRNA from 1 species